rnacentral:rRNA from 1 species
UACAGAGGGGGCAAGCGUUAUUCGGAAUUAUUGGGCGUAAAGGGCGCGUAGGCGGCCUUUCAAGUGACGGGUGAAAUCCCUCGGCUUAACCGAGGAACUGCCUGUCAGACUGGGAGGCUUGAGACCGGGAGAGGUGAGUGGAAUUCCCAGUGUAGCGGUGAAAUGCGUAGAUAUUGGGAGGAACACCAGUGGCGAAGGCGGCUCACUGGCCCGGUACUGACGCUGAUGUGCGAAAGCGUGGGGAGCAAACAGG